GCUUACGGCCACACCGCCUGGUUCCGCCCGAUCUCGUUUGAUCUCGGAAGCUAAGUGGUUGGUCCUGGUUAGUACGGUGGGAGACCGCCUGGGAAUACCGGUGCUGUAAGCU
rnacentral:rRNA from 1 species